rnacentral:lncRNA from 1 species
CUAAAACAAGAGGACAGAAAAUGAAACCUGCACAAAACCACCAAAAGCCAUGCGCGCACAAAGCUGGCAGCACAACAACCAAGCGGUCACAACAACAACAAAAAAUCCACAAAGCUGGCAGUACAGAAGCCAAGCAGUCACAGCAACAACAAAAAAAUCGUAGCCCUGUUUAAAUUAAAAAUGAAGUCCGUAAACAUAAUAAAUAAAUAAUAUAAAACGAGUUUAGGCGAAUACCUUCAAAACGAGUCUUCAUUCACACCAAAACGAGACUUCCUACGCGCAUUUACUGAAGCAAAUUCAUCAACCAACUCUUCGUAUUGUA